rnacentral:lncRNA from 1 species
AUCAGUGUCUGACUGAUGCAAUGCAGCCAGAAAGUUGUUCAGCAGGAAAACUGCGCCAUCGCUCGCUCGUCCUCGUUCACACGCUUGGGGAGGAGUUCAUGGUUCCUGGGAGCAGCUGACAGACAACACACCUAGCACAAACACAUGAACAGGGAGAAGAUGAUCUGGAUCCUUCUGCUCGUCGGCCUGACCUCCUCUGUCUGUGGGAUGUUUGUCUUGAAAAAGACUCCGACCUUCUAUCAGGCAGAGGAGGACGAUAACAUCACCAUCGGAUGGGACAGUCCCAUCAUGUCCCUCACCAUCCUGCGUUGUUUCUUCCAGUCAGAGCCUCUGAAGCUUUUCUAUGAAAUGGUUGACGGUGUGGAGUCCUCAGAGUCUCAGCAUCAGCAGUUUGCAGGACGGGUGCAGUGUGACAAAGACGUCCUCAGAGGAGGACGAGUCAGACUUCAUAUGUCCAGAGUCAGGACUGAUGACUCUGGACGUUACUGGUGUGAUCUGGCUGCUAAUUAUGACAAGAUCAGGAGAAGAUGGGGGCUAGAGACCACUGAACAUUUUGUACUGAAUGUGGCCCAGACCAAUGAUGGAGAGAGCAGUGAUGUGUCUCUCAACUCAUCAAAGUCUCAAGUGGCAGCAACUAAAGGUCAACAUGGUGCAGGACAGCCACCAGGAAGCCCAAAACAUGAAGUCAUAGCUCCACUAUUAAUAGUAGCUUUGGUUUUUGUUGCUGUAAUCUUGGCAACUUGGACAUUUCUGACAGCAUGUGCUUGUGAAGACCGAGGACAACAACCUCAAGACCAGGAUGGACGUUACAUCGUGCUCCCGAUUGAGAUAGUCCCCAUCCUGACCCACUCCAGAUGUGAGUGGACAUUUGGCAGCAUUGACACUGAGCUUAUUUUGGGAUCCUAUUUCACUUUUUACAGUCUGGGUUCAAACUGCUAGAAUGAAGCACUAAAAUGAAGGUAAAGUUACAGUUAAUUAUCCUCUUCCCUGUCCAUGGAUGCUUGGAUUCAUCCUCACAGUAACAGCUUUAUAACAAGUGGGUUUCUAGCUACCAGAGACAAAUAUGUAUAUAGUGAGUUUGUCUUCUUUUUGAUGUAAGUGUUUUUCUACGUCUCACUGACCCGACUUGAUACAACUUGCAGAGACUUGAACAAGUCUCACACUGGACUGCUCCCAAAUAGGUUUCAUUAGACUGGAAAGGCAACGUCGUCACAAGCUAACAUGAUGAAUAGCAAUGUAUAUGUGGACACCAAAUGGAUUACAUUGUGCUGAUGCCAUUAUGCAAACAAAUUAUGACUCGCUACAUAGUCAAGAUAAAAUGCAUUACCAGUGCCUAAAAUAAUCACAAAAAACUGUAUCUAUAAUCUGAGGAAACAUCAAAAAAUAUCUAAAAAGCAAUGAUUUCUAUAAUAAUGUGAUCUGGUUGCUUUUAUAUAUUUAUAUAUGGAAAUGUGUCCUUUUUCAUUACUAUGCAACAAUGAUACAGACUCAGUGUGAGUAUUUCAAAAAUACUUGUUUGUGAUGUCCAUAUGUCAGUUUGCUGUGUUGCUGCUGGCUAAAGAGGACAUGGAGAGUUAAAUCCAACAUCUUUGAUGGUUACUCAGUAAAAAAGAACAGAAUAUUAUUUAUAUGUAUUAAAAAACACUCAAAAGUAGGAGGUCCUCUAAUGGAGCUACAGGCUAUGUACAGUAUUCAGAUCAAUGUCUGGAAGAAAUAAUGAUGGAUAUAUAUUGUGAAAUACAAAUUCAUUUGAUCAGGUCUGAUAUCAUUUCAGCGUUACCAUUUAGUUUUAAACUGUUUAUAUAGUUUAUAAGGACAAGAAACCAGAUGUGACAUUAUUAGUGCUAACGAGGGAUGUGGAAGGUUAGGUAGUUACUGGAUCGUUAUAAUGACAGUAGAGAUGUAAGGUAGUUUGGAAGCUUUAGAACAGUAGAGCUUUAUAAAUGAAUAACAUGGGAUGGAUAUUUCUAGUUGACAGUAAGUCCAUCCAACUCUUUGAUACAGAGAACAGUGAUGGGUGCAAGAUUAGUCAUUAGUGAUAAAGAGUAAUGCACUGUGAUACACAGGGUUUAACUGCUGAACUGCUGUUAUUGAUGUACAAAAUAAACAGCAAAGACCCAAGAAGAGACUCCUGUGGCAUCCCAUUUCUUUAAAAAACAUUUUUUGAAUGCAUUAUCAUCUGAGGUGGGACACCUAAACUCCUGUGUGUCUAUUUCCUGUUCUAACUAAAUCCAGUCAGCAGGACUGGAGCCAAGGACACUUUUCAGUGUUUUAGGAUUCUGACCAGAUUAAUGUUGAGGAUAUAAAUCUGUCAUAAAUGAAAGACAAUGUUAUAACAUUAUAUUGAGGAACUAAAUAUGCAUUCAAGUGAUGAAAAUGUGUUUUUGGUAUUUCUGUUCCUUGCCCCACUUUAUGAAAUAUGAUUGAGAAUGUGUGCUGCAUGCUCUGGUCAAUCUGGAAUAGUCAUUCAGGUUCUUGGAGGAAAUAUGCAUUUAAGGACUUUCUGAAGUUGCAUACAUUACACACAUGGUUGUUCAUCAUGUACAAAUAUGACAUGCUUGACCAUGUCUUUACCAACAUGGCCACACACGUCCUCC